AAAGAAGAAUUAUCCAAAAAUGAAAAUGUUUCUUCAUGUUAAUGGGAACAUAAAGGCUAUGGAAGUUGGGACUCGGCAAUGGGGCCCAAAGGUAAAAUUUCCAAAUUUUUCACACCAAACCCAAGUUGUGAUUUCAAUCAAUAUUGUUCUUUCCUUCUGAAAGAAAAGAAUACAAAUGACAAAGAAAUGACACAAAACAAGUUGUUAUCCCUCACCUUUUAAUCUGGCAAGUAAACUGUUUGAAAGCAGACACUUUGCAGAGCCCAACUGUUGUUGACAACAUGCACCGUCAAACUCAUGUAAGGCUGCUGUGCUGUGUGCCUGUUAUUCUGGAAUUAAAGGACCUUUCCACCAGCUCUGUAGCAAUCUUUUCAUGCAUACAUAUGUACUAAUAAGAUGAAGCCACGUAUGCACAGUUCUUGUAGCUGGUGGAACAUAGAUAGUCGAAGAUGGUCUCAGGCUUCCCUGAGGUUUACUGAGGUAUCCGUGACAGCAGUAGUGUUUCAUGCAUGUUUACAGUUUACAGUUAUGUGACACGCACGUACAGACUCUACAUGCAUAGCAGUCAGUUCUCUGUUCAAAAGAAGAAGUGUUGAUAGCAUGUCAUAUAAUUGGCCAUGUGACUGACAAUGCACAUCUUGCAAUACUAUUGCACAUCCUAAUCGCAAUGUUCAAACAAUAUUUUGCUCAGCCAAAGAAUAUAACAUUCUAACUGCACAUUGGCUGCAUCAUUAAUGGCUUGUGUGUCUUUCUUUUGUACACAAUGUAAAGAAAUAGGAUUCCUCUAAUGUUGGCUGAUUUAUGAGCGCCAGAAUUUUCUGCAAAAUACCUGCAUUCCUGCACCAAAAUUCCAGCCCUGCACAAGAUGAUAUAAUCGUGGGGUUUCUGUGUCUACUGGGGGCACAGCCUAGUUGUGCAUUCAAACCGGAUGUUCUUACACCGCAGCAUAAAACAUCACAGACAGAUUUACAAGUAAUUUUGGCUUUGCUCAGACGGGAGGUGUCAAACUUGUUCAGUUGAAAGAUCCAGUUCCUGCUCACAGAAUUUAUGGCUUGACACCGACAAUAUAACCUAUUUUACUGAAGGCAAAUUACCACUCUCUCUUGUCUGGCCAUCUAAUUAAUUAACAUGUCAAUCAUGCUUUGGAAGCCAUUGCUAAUGACUCUAAUGUGUUAAUAGCAAGGCCAUUCACAUAACAACCAUCUAGGUCAAAGCAUAUACAUAAAAUGAAAUUUAAAUACUGGUGACCAGAAUGUCUCUGAAGUGUUAGAGUAGCUGAUUAAGAGUGUAAAACAGAGAAAAUAACAAAGCAAUGGCUGUAUUAAGCUGCUUCUGUUCCGGUGUUCCAGUUACUGUGUGAGCUAGCUUAAUGUCACACUGUCAUGUCACACCAGGACAUGAGAAUAAAAAGAGCAAUCAUUAACAUUGUCAGUUACACCAGCAUUUAUUCUUCCAUUGACAAGCUGCUUUGAAAGAGCAUGUCUACCUCAAUGUGCUUGAAGAAGCUUAAUUCUGUUGUGAAGUAUGAAAAGAAAGGAAAAGUUGAUGGCUUAACAUCCAUCAGACUCUUCUUUUUAUCCUUAUGUUGAGCUGUCAUGCUAUCUCUUUUGUCCUCAGUGUGAACAGAUUGUUAGCAGUAUACAGCAGUUAACACAGGUAUGCAUUAUAUUUCCACCUCUGUUCUUCUGUCUCAGCUGAAUCGCAGUGUUCUUAUGUGAGCCCAGAGCAGCCAUAUAGAAACUCCCACUCCAGCAAGGCAAACAUAAAAACUAACGCUCUGUGCAGCAUAAAGCACCCACCAGCGCCAAUUCUGCCAGACGGAUCUCUUGCAGACUGUGUUUAAAAUGAUGCAUCAGAUAUGGUAUCCUGAGUGAUACACCAUAAAGUAAGAAGCCAUCAGCUCUUGUGGGAAGUUCAAGAUUCAGUUUUUGGACCUUUUUUCUUUUUUUUUUUUUCUUUUUUUUUUUUUUUUUGCAGUUUGGAUAAAGUUUGCUAGUUCCAAUCAGAUCAUGCUGUUAGUCACAGACUGUAGCAGGUUUCCAUUUUCAAAAUUCAGGACGUAUGUGUUAGUUUUUCCACACAUGCUCAUGACAUUUGAAAGAAAACCUGUUUCAGAAUAAAUUUCUUACAUGCAAAAUAUGACAAGGAAGGUAGCCUGUUGUAGCUAACUUAAGGUGACCAGACGUCCCCGUUUUGGAUGACCUGUCACCGGCUAAAGCUGUCCCUGGAAAUGUCCCCGAGUUAAGUGUUUCAUGAAUGAGAAAAAAAUGUUGCGUAUAGACUAGAAAAAGGGUUAUUUUACGGUAGCCGAGUAGGUAGGAGGCACGGGUAAGCAUGUUGCAUGCAGUCCUGAAAAACAGUUGUUACGGGGAGUUAUUACGGGGGGCGUGCGCUGCUACUAAGUAGCACCGAGUUGUUGUCUGAGAUCACAAAGCCGAUGCCGAAAUAGAGGGCCUAAAAUCACAUUUUGCUUAGCACUCUGGAUGUCCCUGGAUUUAAUUACAGAAAUCUGGUUACCUUAAGCUAACUAGCCAGCUAAAUUAUAGGUCAGUAGAUGAGGAGGGCCAAAUCAGCUCUGCAUGAAAACAAGCCAUUCACAUUUGACACAAAAGGCUCUAGCAAAAGAAUAAAAGAGAGUGGGCCAGCAGUAAGUUCACAAGUUCACCAAAUCUCCUCUGGGAUAAAUAAAGUAUUCUGAUUCUGACUUGCAAGCUACAACAUUGGAAAAUGAUCAGCAAGAAUACCAUCGACAAUGUAGUUACAUAACAGGUUUAAUUUUACUGUUUGUGCAAUGAUUGUUCCAACCAGAGCUGAGUUUCCUGUUGCUGUGACAGUUUUUCAAAGUUGUAAAUCCUUCCAGAUGGUAUCAAAGAAUGAUGAGUACACACGUGUGGUGUCCAAUAAACUUUCAAACUUAUCAAUGUCAUUCUUAAUGAAGCUUUCCUCCAUUAUAUUUGAUCAUCUGCCCACACAGCCCUUUAUUUGAUUUAACCCUGGGCUGAUUUUAAUCAAAAUGAACAGUAAUUAAUAGCUGACUCAUUUAUUUAGAGCAACAAUUCCAUCAAAGCCAUAUAAGUGAUACGAAGAUUAUGGUCAUUCUUUGACAUUUGACACUGGGUUUGUAACUGCUCACACUUACUCAGGCCUACAUUUUAACUUAAGCUGCUGCCUUACUGACAUGAUAAAUCUGGAUCAACAUACUGAGGGAAGAAAGUGCAGUGAUGUCGCUUGGUACACAUCCUGCGUCCCUCACCCAUAAAAAUUUGAGAGGACCCUGGCGUGACACUGUGAACCAUUAGUGGAGCAGGGGUGUAGCUUUUAAUGUUGUUAUGUUAUAAAUGUACCUCUGUGUCACUUUCAUCAGGCAUUAGCUUGAGUAAACUGGCUUGUAUUCGAGAAAUACAAGCCAGUGAGGUGAUCACUAGCAUUAGCCAGGGUAGCUUGCAUACCACGGUAGCCUGUUAAGUUUUUUUGUUGAAAUGAUCCAAAGGAAAGGACAGCAUUAACAAUGAGCACAUAGGCAGACACCGCUGUGUUCAGUCUCUUUUUCAGAGCACACACAGCUCUGUUUGUUUUGCUGCUCAGGGCGCUACGACUGAAACAUCACAGCCUAAAUUGUUUGGCAAGGUGCUAGUGUUGCUGCUCGAGCCUACCAAUUAUUAAGUAGAUGGGGUGGGACUGGUCACCCAGGUAACCAGAAAAAUAGGUGAUGUCUCUGUGAUGCUCUGAUCACUGCAGCAGAGACAGAGGAGCCCAUUUAUGGGACAGUUGGCCUGUUUGUUCCUGCUGAGUGUCGUGGUUAAUAGUAAGAAACAUAGAGGGACCCUGCUGCACUGUGGUACAUGACAAUUUCAUUUUCGCAAGCAAACUGGUCAUAUCAAGCCAUAUUUUUUGCAUUAGAUGAGUUUCUUUGCUCUAUAAGAAAUUCAUUAUCAACAUUGUCAAACAUCAUAUCUGUAGAAAUGCAUAUGACUUUUGAUCCUGAUUCCAAAUACCCUGUUUUUCAUGUUUUCUUUUCAAAAUAAAUAACAUAUAUCACAAUAAAUCACAUAAAAUCUCGAACACAUAAUUCCUACCCUUGUCUAAGUGCUGUAUCCUUAUAAUAAAAUCAUGAAGCGGUUUCUCUCCUGAAAAUAAUGUAUUUUUAGCACUAUGCGUUAUGUUUUCAGAAUGCCAGAAACAGUUGGAGUACACCCAGAUACUGAAUAGAUUUGGCUCUAAAGGAUGACAUUUUUUAGGUGGCAACUGAUGUUUUUUUUUUUUCCCUCCUAAAUGGACUCUUUCUAAUUCUUUAUCUAAAAUAGCUUUAAAAAUAGAACAUAUACCUGCAUGUGUUUCCAACCUCUGUUCAUUUUCCAUUACUAUGGAGUUCCUGAAUAAAUACUGUGAGGAGACGUGGGGGGAAAUGCCAGCAAAGGCAAAGAUUAGGCAAAUUGUUGUGAUAAAUUAUUAUUCUUUUGAUUUCCAGAACAUUUUUAACAGUUAUAAUGAUACAUCUGUUCAUUGUGAAUAUUUCUACAGUACUGCUGCUCUAGACUCUCUAAUUCUUAUCAGGGACCCCUUAAGUUUUCAAGGGACCCACUCAAAUCCCAACCCAGGUCCCAGGAUCUCGCCACACUGAAAGACUAUCAACAACACUGGAAGAGCACGGCUCCCUGAUGAUCUUCGUAAAUCCAAUAUUGUUGAAUGCUUUAUAGUAAAACCAAAUGUAUUAGGUCUGAAUCUCCACAGAUGCCAGGCAUUCACUUUCAUAAUCUAUACGAACAGUGUCUCAUAAGUAGGAGUGUCCCCUGGCCCUGGUGUACAGGAUCCACUCAUACAAACAAACAAGCAGGCAGACACAGGUGCAGAUGCAUGCACAUAUGCUCAAGUAUUUACUUUAGUAUUUACAUUCCACAGAGGAGCGCGCAUUUUCAGCCCACUCUCACAGUGAAAUGCAAAAGCACUGAGUUUUUUAGAUCCACACAAUAGCAGUCUUCCAUUAUUCAUUUCAUGUGAUUCAUUCUGUGUUAGCCUGCUUGAAAAUGAAAUGCAUGAAUUCAAAACACACUCGGUACUGUACCAUGUAAUUAGACUGUAUUAUGCACUUAACUGCAAUUUGAAUAAUACAAUGCAAAUCACUUUCCGUUGAGACUUUUAAGGGGAGAUACUUUUCUUUUCAUUUACACCCACGGAGACAGGAGGAGAUUUUCAGAAAAGGGGAAAGAUUUUUUUUUUCUUUUUUGUAAGAAAACCUCAUCAAGGGGGCCUGGCCCUCUACUUUUGACUCAGCUGUUAGCCUGGUAGCACUUUGUAUACGCCACAUGUGUGAAGCUAAUCACUGCAAAAACAGCUGCAACUGUUCACUAAUGGAAAAGCGGAGGAAAAUUAAAAGCCUCAUACUGCUGACCCCAAUUGACUUCUAAAGCCAGGCACACCAUCAUCUCCAAAAAUCCACGUCUUUUUUAAGUUAUAUGUAACUCUAUUCAUUUAUAAAAGCGACUAAUAUAAACUGUCUUUAUGAAAUGCUUCUCAGUUUUAGUUCGAAUGCAGUGACGGCAGAAGGCAGACAGUGAUCGUCUUUCAUAAUUCAAGCCUCAUAAGUCCUAAAUUGAAUCGCUGAGAUAGAGUUCUCCUAAUGUAAUUCAGAUUUAUUGAAUUACAUAUCUACUUUAGAUUUAUUACAUGCACUAAGCAUAUGAAGCUAUCCAGAGAUUUUAUUUUAUAUGGUAUCUAAAAGUUCAGAGGACUUUGGAUGAGCUGGGUAUUAAAUUACAAUGGCAAACUAACAAAGGCUACAUAAAACACUGUACUAUGAAAUACUCAAUAAGUAACAAGUAAAAGUAAAUUAUGUGCUGAGACUGUGUCCUCAUAAAAGGGCUGUUCAAACUUCAGAGAGAGACAAUAUUGGCUGCACAUAACUAAAACUGCUGUCUUUUUACUGGAGCAUGGAAAAAUUGAUUGCAGUAUAAACACAAUUUAAUGAGUGUGAUGAUCACUGGAAUUCAAAGCUGAUUUGAUUGAGCUCCACUACAAAACCUGGCUUUGGGAAAUGUAGAAUUGACAAUCUAAUGCCAAGAAUUCACUCGACUCUUGUGCGAAAUCAAAUGAUUCCUUGGAUAUAUUUGGAUUAGAUUUCCUACCAGAUAUAGAACAUGUUGUGACUUCCCAUAGCUUCAAACACUGGCUUCAGUGGUGGGUAGAACUGUGAAGAUCAGCAGCUCAUCUAAUCUGCUUCCUCCUUGACUACUAAGAACCGACCAAAAAAGAUGACUAACAAAAGCUGUUAUAUUCUCACCUAUCACUUCCAGAUUCACAUGGAAAUGUUUGCAUAAUGAAAGCCAAAGGCCAAAUUAUGAUUAAUUUGUCCCACACUACAUGUAUCAGAUUGCAGAUUUUAGAGAAAGCAUGUACCUGCCCAAAAUUCGUGAUGACUAUUAGUCACUGGCAUGAGUGCAUAACCAAGACAGUGGGAGGGAGCUAUUCUCGGAGCUUCACUUCAAUAAAAAGAUUAAAUACAGUGCUGGCCAAAACUUUUUCAUUCUUAUGAACCACAGAGUGCAGUGUCUAUGCCAACCUAAAAUUGAAGCCUUAAAGACUUAAGUCCUGACAGAGAAUUGGAUGCUACAGAAAUGGUGACAUACUAAAAGGCAGAGCACUUUCCCUCCUGAGAGAAUAACUGAACCAAUGCAGCUAGAUAGAUCUUUGCCUACUUUAGUGGACAGGUCCUUCAACUCUAAGUGCACAACUUACUCUCUAGACCAUAAUAUAAAUCAUACACAUAAUUUUUGACUAAUGUAUAUAAUGACAAGACAUGCUUUUGAAACAGGCUUGUCAGAGUUGUUAGUUUCAUAUGCAACUUUGCAUUUAUCCAAAACCUCACUACCUCAACUCUCAAACCCAUUGUCACACAGUUUAAUAUGCAAAAGUUGUUCUUUGGCUUCUUUUUAUAUCAGAUUAAUUAGAUAGAAAAUACAAUGUUAAUGUGGUAUUUUAUGGUAAAAGAUUAACUGAGAUGCUUUUGAAACCUUUGGAGCUUUCAACUCAUCGUUUUGGUUCUCUGACCUGCAGCUUUUUCUGUUUCGUUUCAUUUUUACUGAUCAAUUCUUUCUGGGUAGCCUGUAGCUGUAUCAAACUAAAAAGAAGAUCUGAUAAAUAAUACAUGCAUCACACACUGACUGCUCUGCAUUUAUAACAAAGUUAGCGACUAGCUGUUGAGCAUGGUGGAGCUUUUAGAUUUGUUUUCUUUAAUAUUUAGAGAUGGACCAGAACUAAAAAGGCUAAAAGUAAAAUGAAAAUGUUACUUAUCUGUUAGGUGGUUGAAGACAACUGCACGAAUGUACCGGCACACAUAUGACUAUGAAUACAGCUGUACAAUUGUGUGUGUGUGUGUAUUUAUAUACCUAAACUGCUGCAGAACAGAAUGUAAUAUUUGAAAAGUACACAGGGAUUAAGUGAAGCACUGAGUUGAACAAUCAGAAACAUUGCAUGCCCUCUAGCUAAAAUCAUUUUUGUUGGUGGGUUUUAUGUCUGUUUGUUUUUCAGCAAUAAAUAUCUUCAGCAGGAUGAUCCCUGGUUUGUUAGGCAGAUAAGCCUCACCAGUUCUACAGUGGGAACCAACAGAACUUUUUAAAUGGCUGUGUAAAAGUGAGUGUCAUACAUUUCUGAAAUGUCACAGCAGAAAAUAUAACUGGAUGGAAACCUUUUUUUGCAGGAGAUUUUACCGAGAUUGGAAGAUUAGAGAUGUCAUUUUUAAGUGCCGCUGUUGAAGCAGAGGUUGGAGCAUGGCUGUUUAAAAAGCUUUAGGGGAAAGGGGACUAAUCUCAGAGCAUUUUAUGAUAAUUUGUUUCUCAGGGGAAGAACUGGGAACUGUCUUAACAACUUGGCUAGAAUAAGGUCAAGAACACAAGCAGAUGAUUUCAUCCUACUAAUUGCAACUCUGAUUGCAUCUUCUGUCAUCAUAUUAAAACAUGACACUCAAGGUUAGGGUCCGUGGACAGAGGGAUACCAGGAAGUUGUUGCAUCAACAUUGCCAUCACUUUUUCAUACAGUUUUUGUUUUCAAUUUUAGAUUUACACAACUAGUAUUUCGAAUUUUAGAUGCAACUUUAAGGAGCUAAUGGCUACACAUGGAUUUUCAAGACAACAAAUGGUGAAAAAUGGCUUGAGGGCUAUUUAAUUAAUGCAUGAUAUCAUCGCCAAGUAUUCCACAGUAUUUCAUUACAUACAGUGUUUAGCCUAUAACAAGUUAUUCUAAUAAAAUAAAUAUAAACAGGUUGAUGAAAGACCAUAUCAGGGAUGCAACUAAAAGCUUCAACUAUUUUGAUAAUCAACAGAACAUCAAUUAACAUAAUGGUUUAUUAUCUGGUUCGAUGAUGACAAUAAUUAAAUGGCUCUUUCCUAUCAGCCUUCAAAUGUAUUAUUACCUUGAAGCUCAAAAUUCACUAAAAAUCAUAACUUCAGCCAUGUUUUUGUCUUAGCUUUGGACAUAAUAUUAUUAAAUGAAUCCACCAGUUGGCUAAAAUACCACGACCAGCCGGUCAGUAUUAUGUACGACCCCCAAAAGGUCCAAAACAGUCCUGACCUGUCGUAACCGACACCACUAGACCUCUGAAGGAGUGUAAGCUUACACAAUCAGAAACUCCCACAUCCACAUCCAGUUCAUUCCCAUUUGUGCCACCAUUCAGUUUCUCCCUUCUUGUUACUCAGGCUGAAGGAAGGGUCAGGUACAGCAGGAGAGUAGACUUUUCUUUUUACUUUGAACUGAUGUUAGAAAAACACACCGUUUUUAUUUUAUUCUCAACUUAACUAUUGUGAGAUUUUGAGUUAUUUCCUGUGGAUGAAUAUCCUUAUUUGUUUUUCUUUCUGUUUGAUAGUUUAAUUAUUGAUAAUUUCAUAUGAGUAUUUUGCUUUACACAUUUUGGACUGAGCUUUUAUUUAUUUAUUUCAUUUUUGGUUCUUGAAUAUAAGGGUUACAUUCGGGUUUAUGUUGUAAAAUACAUAAAUAUAUUAAUUUAACAGUCUUUUUGUAAUGAUUUUGAUUAAAUACAAUAGUUUGAUAAAUGCUGAUGAUCUCAAAAUGCUUUUAUUUGGCUUCACUGAUUCAUCAGUCUCUUUCUCAUUUGAACUGAUCAGUUGAAUGUCAUUCUUGGUGUUGCCCAGAUGCCCAGCAUGCCUUCUCUUUAAAUCCUUGUGAGCUCCUAAGAUAAGCAAGAUGGGCUCGCAAAUUUUACAGGACGCCCUUUAUUGAAUUUCCCUUUAAGGAUCAAUAAGUUCUUCUGAUCUCAUUCUAUCUUUUUAAUUGCAUGCUAAGAGUGAAUUGAGUGAAAUUUUAGGACACAAGUGUGUUGCUUCAGACACUGCCAUUUUGCUGUUUUGUUCACCUGUCACUUCUGGGUCACUGUCUUGCAUGCACUCCUUUAGCAGAGACAGUAAAGAUAUGAGAUAGCUCACUCCUCAGUAACUGAGAUCUAUAAAGCAAUGUUAUAUCCACUCAUAGCAUUACAAAAGUAUGACAUAACCAAUUUACUAUGGACAAUUUACUACAGUCUAAAACUUGUUUUGAUUGUUGUUGCCCACAUUGACAAAUGGUUACACCUCUAGAACACAUUAAAAAGCAGAGCGUUCAUUUUCACAAUCUUUCAAGUGGAUUGAUGUAAUUGGAUGUGGUUAUGAGAUCAAACCAGAACAGAAACACUUGGGUACUAUGUUUUUUUUUUUUGCUGCACUGUUCUGAUCUACGGAAAUAACUGACCACAUACAAACAUACAACCAUUACAAAAAGAGUAUUCAGCUUAACUGCUCCAGGAGUUCUUGUUCUACAGUUAUUUCUUCAAAACUGUAUUUUAUUUAUUGUUUUUUUUUUCAGCUUGAUGCCUCAAAUGAAUCACAGGGACACUAAGUAAAAUGUGCAGGUUUUAACAAUUACAGCCAAGUAUUGAAAAGGUUAAAGUGAUAAAAAGUCACAAAAACAAGAGUCAGAGCAGAUGGAAAUAUGAUUAUGUGAUGCUAAUGAGUCAAGGACAGGACACUUCAUCGUGUUUUUUUUCUUGGCGCAGUAAAAUCCAUGCAGAUAGAAAGUUCAGGUACCUAAAUAAUUUUCUCAGUGUAACGAAGAUUUUUGAAAAAACUUUGCUUUUUCCAGUGUCAUGCAGAAGUGGUACAUGAUAGUAGGAAAAAAAAAACAGACAUUUCUUCCACAAAGGUUUUUGACUGUAGUCUUAGGGAUAAAGCAGCAAUCCAAACUACCAUCAAGGAGCUUGAAACAUGGCUGUCAGCUGUAGACAAGUCUGGCUUGCUCGCAAGGUUUAAGACAUGUAUUUACCAGCACAGCGUCCUAACCAGGGCACUCUAGCCCUUGUUGGUGUACAAAGUGGCCCUGUCAACAGUGGAAACCCUGGUGAGGAAGACCAGCAGUUACCUCCGCAGGUGGCUGGGCCUGCCUUACAGCCAUUGCAGACCAACAAACUCCAGCUCCCAAUGCGCAGCCUUGACGAGGACUUUAGAUUGCCUUGGACAAAAGAGUCUAUGAUCCAUCAAGACUCUAAAGACUCGAGAGUUGCUUAGGCAGGCAUCAUGGUGUGUACAGGCAGAGGUGAAAAGCACAGGAAGGCCUGGAGGUAGCUGAGUCCCAGCUGAGACACAGGACUUUGGUGGACACCAUGACAAUGGGGCAUGCAGGGUUUGGGGUUUGUCUUUAGCCCCACUGCAAGAGGGCACCGCUGCGGAUAUCACAGCUGCAUAUGAUGUCCCACCUAGCCCAGCUAAUCUCCAUCUCUGGGGCAUGGACGACUCUUCAGCUUGUGCUCUGUACUAUCUUGCUAUUGAGGUUAACUUGAGCUCAUCCUCAGCAGCGGCCUGAAAGCACUGGGGGAGGGUCGCUAUCGCUGGCGGCACAACUAAGUGCUGAAGGCAGCUGCUGAAGCCAUCUCCAAGGCCAAAGUCCACAACAACAACCAGCACCAGCAAGAGGAACAUCAUCUUCGUCAGGGCUGGAGAGCAGCCUCAGUCACAACCAAGCAGGUGGCCUACUAACCUCAGCAUCAGAUUGUGAGCUGAGAGUAGACUUGGGCAAGCAAAUCAUGUUCCCAGACCACAUUACAUCCUUGAGGCCAGACAUCAUGCUUUCCCCUGUCUCUGCAAGGCAAGUGCUCAUGAUAGAUCUGACAGUUCCAUGGGAGGUCCGUAUCAAGGAGGCAAAGAAGUGGACGCUGUCUAAGUACAAGGAGCUGGUGGAGCAAUGCCAAGGAAGUGGUUGGAAGGCACACUGUGAGCCCGUAGAAGAGGGGUGUCGAGGCUUUGCUGGUCCCUCACUGUGCAAAGUUUGCACACUGCUUGGCAUCACGGGGGUCGCAAGGAGGAAAGCCAUAAAGCACACCCUGGAGACUGCAGAGAGAGCCUCCAGAUGGCUUUGGAUCAGGAAAAGCAAUCAUUGGGACAGUGCUGCUCGGACAAAAGCCAGGACUUGAUCAACACUGGCUUGGUCACCUGAGGGAGGGUGUAUGAUGUCAAAAGACCUGAAACACCAAAUGAUAUCAGGCACACCACCAAGAAUGUGUCUCAGAGCAUCCCAGGAUUUAUCUUUCAUUCACUAUGCAAAGUCCUGACCAGUUAUGGUGGCACAGGUCAAAUUUACAGAAACAGGAGGAUUUACUAUCUACCUCCUUUCUGUUUUUAUUCAUUAAUUUAUUUUUUAUGAUGACUUGCUUGUAGUGAGGUGCAAGGUCAGUCAAGCUCAUUUGGAAUGACCUUGGAAAGCAUGAUCUGAGCUGCCUCUUAACAUGCUCUGAGCUCAAGGCUGUGUGUUGUGUUUGUGUUGAUUCUCAAGCUUAUGGAGGCUUUUACAGAUUUUCCAGUAUGGUUGGAUUGGUUCUCAAAGCCUAUAGAUGCAUCAUCCCCCCUUGGCCAAUACAUAACUGGUAUUUUGUAGGGAAAAAAACAGCUUAAGAAUCCCGAGACGUCAUGAUCUAGUUGGGACCUGAAAGAUUAAGUGAGUUGUACGUCUGGUGUGUGCCCUUACACUACCCCUCUUUUGUUAGUGAUUGAACAUAUCCCAAAAAAAUAUAUACAUGAAAAAAUUGUUGGAACUGCGCAUUGUACUACAAUUGAGGCUUUGUGUUGUAAAAAGCAAUGUGGACCUUUGGAGAUAGGCUUUAUUCACAGCAGACAUUUUGACUUUUCUUUUCAAGAAAAGCCCAGGUGUUACUAAUACCAUUAACAAUGACUCUGGUUUAUUCAUGUGUCCCAGCAGUUCUCGACAGUGUGACGGUGAGCCAACAAGCACAAUAGCUGAACCUUGGAACUGAAGCAGCUGAAUGGAAUAAUCAUUCAUAAAUAAAUUAUUUCCACUUAUGAUUUUUCUACUGUGACAUGUUAAAAGGUUGUCUGAAUAGAAAAGGUGUAUUAUAGAGGCCUGUGAGUAGUAAGUGAGAAACUCAUACUGUAUUUCUCCUGCAGUAUCUUUAUAUCAUGUGUAAAACAAUAUGUUCUGACUCAGAUAAAUGAGCUUGAUUAUUAUGGGUUUGACUUUUUAAAUGCAAUCUGUCACAGUUUUAGAAAAAGCUUAGAAUUGCAGCAAUGACUUAUCAAAGAGUUUGUAUAGUAGUCCUGAAAAGGUGACCUAUUUUCACUUCAUUCAUCACAUACAGUUUUUCAUAUUAAGAUGUCCACAUCACUCUCUUGAAUGAAAAACAGGUAAAUAAAAAAAUGAAAAUAUAUUUGUGUUUUAUGCUCUGUAUAAGUAAAUGCUUGGUUGACUGUGAGCAUUUCUUUCUGUUUCACAAGUUGUUUGAUUUUCUGUCAGACAAGUGACCACCACUUGAUUGAGUUCUUUAAUCAUGUCUCUUAACCUGCAGUGACUUGCAGCCCAUUUAAAUCAGUUUUCAGUACCAAGUGUGUGUCAUUAGAUAUGUCAUUAAAAAACACAUUAGGUUUUAUACAACCCAAGUGUGCUUUAAAGCCCACCAACAAUCAUCAUAUUAAGUACAGAGUAAUAACAUAUAAUUAAACAUUUUGAUGUCCCAGCAGGGACUGGGGGGGAGUGAACUGUUUUUCUUCAAGUAUAUUUUGUAGAUUUAUGACAAGAUCUAGGACAUUAAAGCCUUAUAAAAGGUUGGCUGUCAUGGCUUCAAAAAUGGAAAUCAGAUAGUAAAUAUAUAUUGGUAAUGAUACAUAAAUUAAGAUGCCAUGUGGUGUCAAUGUAAAUGACAGUCUUGUCUGAGAAUGAGCAGCUUACGCAGUACAAGUCUUUGUUUUUGUUCCCUCUACUCCUUUAGACAUAGUUGGUUGCUGCUAGAUGAUGAAACUAAAGCUUAUUUUUAUCACAUGCAAUAUGUGUCUGCAGACCCGGAGGCUGCAGAUUUAGAGCCUCAUUUGUGGGACAGACGUUCAGUCAAUCCAUUAAUUCAUCAGACUCUAUUUGUAUCACUGUUUUCAACCAAAAAAUGUAGCACACAAUGCUUUACAUAAACCCUGAUACAUGUGCAAGGUUAACACACCAAAUCACAACAAACAAAAAACAUUAAACAGCAAAGUACAUAUUACACUCCAGCUGACUGUUAAUCCCCCUUCUGCUAGGAUGGGACUCAUCUUUACUGUCAUUCUGGGAUAGGUGUAAAAGUUUGGCAGCCGUUUCUCUCAGCGUUCCCUUUUAAAACUGUUUUCUUGCUGCAUUUGUUGCGCAAACUUCACAGUCUGACAGCACUCAGGUCCAAGUAUUUUUUUGUUUUUCGGGCCAAUAUGCAGGGGCUUACCAAAACUUUAUUGACUUAGGUGGCAAAACUGAGACACUGGGUGGCCAGGGUAUGUGUGCACACAGAUUAUCAUCUUUGUCUUUACUAUUUACUUUGAACACUCCAAUUAAAGUGUCGUAGAGAUAAUAUCCUGAAGUAUAUUUUUAGAAUAAUAAUAUGUGGAUCAGCAAGUCUAAUGUCAAAGCAUAUUUAUUCUGGUUUAGUAAUAAGACAAGAUAGAAUAAUCCUUCACUAUUCCCACAACUGGGGGACUUGCAUUAUAACAGCAGUAGAGGCAAAAACACAUUAACUGUUAAACUUUGUUAUUUCACUAUCCCCCACUGACAACAUGAUAAAAAGUGUUACUGACAAAUCGAAUGGGAUAGCAUGGUAACAACACAGAUCUUUAACAUUACUUAAUUUAUUUUGCGAGCAAAAUAAGCACUCUUGAUGAAUAGCUGACCAGUCAACUGUAAAGAAGAGACAAGACUGAGUAACUGUGACGGAUAUUAAAACACACAAGGAGCUUGAUGAUAGAGACAAUGACCAAAUUAAUAAAAGCAGAAAAAAGCAGCCACAAACCACAACACAGUAUAAGCUUUGGCAGUGUUAGAGGACGAACACAAAAGUACAGUGAAGAGGAUCUUAUAGAGAUGCCCACAGAAAAACACAAUUUUUUAAACUUUACUCUGAAUGAAACUCCUCUGUGUCUGGAUCUUGUCUCACCCUGUCAGGAUCCUAUUCCCCUGACCACUGACUGACUGUAUAUUUUCCUUUGACUUAUCAUGCAUUGGUGGGUGGUCAAAAGCUGAUACAAUCUUGUCUUAUGUUUUGUUACAGCAGGUCAAGUGGGAAAAAAAAAUCCAGGAGGAAACCAUGUAUAUAAUCAUCUGAAGGUUGAUUGGAUGGAGAGAAAGGCAGAGGUCAAGAGUCCAGCGCAGUCAAACAAAUCCCAUUGAGAAGGUGGCAAAACUGAAAGAUAAAGGUCUGAGGUAGGUGGCAAACACUCAGGAGGAAAUUAAAUGCCAAGAAAAAAAAUAAAUAAAUAAAUGUGAAAAUAAAGAGCACACAACAAAAUAACAAAAUAAUAAUGAAAUGUCG